UACGUAGGGUGCAAGCGUUGUCCGGAAUCAUUGGGCGUAAAGAGCGUGUAGGCGGCCCGAUAAGUCCGCUGUGAAAGUCCAGGGCUCAACCCUGGAAUGCCGGUGGAUACUGUCGGGCUCGAGUACGGGAGAGGCGAGUGGAAUUCCGUGGUGUAGCGGUGAAAUGCGCAGAUAUCAGGAGGAACACCAAUUGCGAAGGCAGCUCGCUGGGACGUUACUGACGCUGAGACGCGAAAGCGUGGGGAGCAAACAGG
rnacentral:rRNA from 1 species